CACGUAGGGGGCGAGCGUUGUCCGGAUUUAUUGGGCGUAAAGAGCUCGUAGGCGGUUUCGUUAGUCGGGUGUGAAAACCCCAGGCUCAACCUGGGGACGCCACCCGAUACUGCGAUGACUAGAGUCCGGUAGGGGAGUGUGGAAUUCCUGGUGUAGCGGUGAAAUGCGCAGAUAUCAGGAGGAACACCGGUGGCGAAGGCGGGACUCUGGGCCGAUACUGACGCUGAGGAGCGAAAGUGUGGGGAGCGAACAGG
rnacentral:rRNA from 1 species